ACGGAUUAUCAAAAACUUACCCUAUAUCGCCAUCGUGGGAGCAUUGAUUGCCGCCGUUGCCAGCAUGAAGAUUUUUGCUGGCAGUGAAGUGUCGAUCUUCACACUGGAGAAA
rnacentral:misc_RNA from 1 species